CCUGAUUUGUCACCUAUAGCUACAGACAAUUAAAAACUUUCAAUGGACCCUCUCUUCUUUAAAAACACUUAAUAUAUGCGUUCUUUCAGGAGUUCUAUUAAUUAGUUCCUCACCAAGCGAUUUGAAAUACUAGCAACAAACGGAUAUAAAACUUGUUCUAGGGGUUUGCACUAGGAUUUUGGCUUUGAAAGAAAAUAGGUCGGUAUAAAACCAACUUUAAUUAAGUAUUUUUGAAGUCUGGGUGUCUUAAUCUCUUGUACGGUUGUUAACUCCCUUUUGAUUAGCCGCUUACAAAAUUGCAGACGUGCAGUGAAUGAACAACGAUCGCACGCAAAGCGUCUUACAGACGCAGUAUCACACGCUGCUCCACGGCUCAUAUCGCCCAUAAAUUAGGUCCUCUCCUAAAAGACAAUUCUCGUACUCAUGACUUGCUAGUGAAGAAAAUAACUUUGCAUUUAAAGAAAGUUAACAGCGGUUCUUUCCCGAGGUAGCAGUGCAAAGCGUCGUUCCGCUCGUAUCAUUACUAGCAACAACGAAUUCAUACGCCCAAACCAUGAAUAAAAUG